AUUGAACGCUGGCGGCAGGCCUAACACAUGCAAGUCGAACGAGUGGCGGACGGGUGAGUAAUGUAUGGGGAACUGCCCGAUGGAGGGGGAUAACUACUGGAAACGGUAGCUAAUACCGCAUACUAUCGGAUGUACCCAUAUGGGAUUAGCUAGUAGGUGGGGUAAAGGCUCACCUAGGCGACGAUCCCUAGCUGGUCUGAGAGGAUGAUCAGCCACACUGGGACUGAGACACGGCCCAGACUCCUACGGGAGGCAGCAGUGGGGAAUAUUGUACAAUGGGCGCAAGCCUGAUGCAGCCAUGCCGCGUGUAUGAAGAAGGCCUUCGGGUUGUAAAGUACUUUCAGCGGGGAGGCGUUACCCGCAGAAGAAGCACCGGCUAACUCCGUGCCAGCAGCCGCGGUAAUUC
rnacentral:rRNA from 1 species